rnacentral:lncRNA from 1 species
AAACAAUUAUAUGUCACCAAAGCCGGUAAAACCAAAGAGUAAAGCAGAUAGACAAUAAAGGUAAAAGAUAACACCCUAUGCCUUAGUGAUAAUUACUUAUCUUCAGAAGCAGUUACUCAUCAAACAAUUUUCUUCACAUGAGGGGGAAAUUCAAUAAUUAGUAUUUUCCUCUCAUUUGAUGCAAUUUCUAUAUCAGAACUAUACCAAAAAGCUAAAUU